GUUUAUUAAUAGAAGCCUCAACAUGCCUUUGAGAACAGGAUGCAGCUUCCUGCUUUACACUGCUACUAUUGAUUCUAGCAGAUGCUCCACUUGUAGUGGACAAUUUGGAUAAACAAGUAGUGCCAGGCUGUUCUUGUGCAUUGUUUUGCUUUGCAGAUGGAUGACUUAGGUCAUCUUCCCAGGAGCCAAUUGUAGCUGCAAGGUUAGCUAAACGGCCCCUUCUCCCAAUAGGGGUACCACUUGCCAGAUCAUUAGUUGCCUGCUUAGGUGGAGAAACAGACAGGGCUUUUGACUGGAGGGGAGACAGACGAGCACAUUCAGAGGGAUCCUCACUAUCCCAGCAGCGUCGCUGUUCUGCCAGUUUCUGCAUACGUGUUUUGACUGAAAGGGUUGCAGGAGUUUCUGACUUGGUGCUUGUUUUUCCUUUCUCAAGAGGUUGAGCCGGUGAAGCCUUGUUACGCACAGUUCCAUGCAACUCUGAAUUCAUCACAGGAGAACGGUGGCUUGGGGAACUUGAAGGAAGAGGCUGUGUGUUCUCUAUAGUGGAAGCUUCAGUCUCUUUAUUAUUGGAGCAGCGUCUCUUUGAUGGAGAUGGUUUAGUGGGUUUCACUUCUCCAUCAGGAAGAGAUGUCUGGUUACUAGUCUCUAACAAAGGCUCUCUGGCCCUCUUGGUCUGUGCUGCAAGUCUUGCUGCCAUGGUCGGCCGCUCAGCCAUUUUCUUCUGCAGGUUCUCCCGCCUGGCACGGGUUCGUUCAAGUAGUUUCUCAGUGAACGGAUCCAUCGCUGCUACUCCGGCCGCUCCCUCACGUCGCCCCGGGAAUAGCAAAAAAC
rnacentral:lncRNA from 1 species